CGUGUAGGCGGGGUGGUGUGUCGGAAGUGAAAUCGUGCGGCUUAACCGUAGCAAUUGCUUCCGAAACUACCGCUCUUGAGUACGGAAGGGGCAGAUGGAAUUCCAGGUGUAGCGGUGGAAUGCGUAGAUAUCUGGAAGAACACCGGUGGCGAAGGCGGUCUGCUGGUCCGAUACUGACGCUGAGGCGCGAAAGUGUGGGGAGCAAACA
rnacentral:rRNA from 1 species